rnacentral:rRNA from 1 species
UGCGAACGCUGGCGGCAGGCCUAACACAUGCAAGUCGAACGGACCCUUCGGGGUUAGUGGCGGACGGGUGAGUAACACGUGGGAACGUGCCUUUAGGUUCGGAAUAGCUCCUGGAAACGGGUGGUAAUGCCGAAUGUGCCCUUCGGGGGAAAGAUUUAUCGCCUUUAGAGCGGCCCGCGUCUGAUUAGCUUGUUGGUGGGGUAAUGGCCCACCAAGGCUACGAUCAGUAGCUGGUCUGAGAGGAUGACCAGCCACAUUGGGACUGAGACACGGCCCAAACUCCUACGGGAGGCAGCAGUGGGGAAUCUUGCGCAAUGGGCGAAAGCCUGACGCAGCCAUGCCGCGUGUAUGAUGAAGGUCUUAGGAUUGUAAAAUACUUUCACCGGUGAAGAUAAUGACUGUAGCCGGAGAAGAAGCCCCGGCUAACUUCGUGCCAGCAGCCGCGGUAAUACGAAGGGGGCUAGCGUUGCUCGGAAUUACUGGGCGUAAAGGGAGCGUAGGCGGACAUUUAAGUC